AGCUACUCCUCAGCAUGGGUAGUAGAAGCUAGUUUGGCUGUGACAACUGCGAUUUUCACCACCAACUACCAAACUUUGCCAAUAAGCCAGUGAACGCACCGGUAAAGGCAACACUUCUGCAUUAUGGGCAUCCUUUCACCCCUUUUCCCUCAGCCAGCCAUAGCAGGGGACCGCCACUACCCACCAGGUUCCCUCUCCAUGCCAACAGACCCAUAGACCUGCUGCAUGGUGAGUCUGGGUGGGUCACUGUAAGACAGACACUCACGCACCUGCCAGGGCUGGAUCCCGCCCUGAGGAUAAACGAGACCUUAUUACGACCCCACCGGGGGCAGACACGGAGAGCAGGACGACAACGGGGAGGGGGGGGCCCGGCCCAGGGGUCCCCACCCGUCAUCGUCCCCCCCGCUGAGGCCGCCCCACAACACAGGCGCCCCCGUUGUGCCGAGGGGGUAACCCCGUGCGCCCCCCCGCCAGCUGCCCCCCACAGGUAAACGGCAACAGGCGGCGUCCCCUGCCCGGCACCACACACCCGAGAUCGCUACCUCAGGAACGCUCUGUGGGCUCCGGCCGCCUGGCUCCCGCCGCUGCCGCUGGGGCGGAUCAGCUGAUAUUUACCUGUGAGGUGGAGGUAACAGUUCACUGGAUUAAGAGGCUGAACGUUCUGGCCAAUAGACAACAGCAAUUGAAGAUACUAUUCUAAGAAGUUUGCAGUGCUUUAAGUCCCCAUCCCACUGGCUCAGGUAUCACCUGGAAUCAACAGAAAAAGCAGUCUGCUUCCAGCCUGUGCAGCCAGAGAUGCUGCUAACAAAAACUAAACCACCACCCAAGGAGCGGUAAUGAAUGUGCCAGGACAUGGUCUCAGAAACACGGAAGUUCUGCAGGACAAGGCUGGCAUUGCCUCCACACUGUGAAGCAUCUUCAUCUGUAAAGGUGAUCCUGUCACCACUGACCACAGAUACGUGCUUACAGUCUGAUGGAGGUGCAGGUACAGGAUGCUCCAAAUCCAGGGAAGAGACAUAGGAGAGACAAGAGGAAAACGCAUACCGCUGUCACUAUUGAGCCUUGAAGCAUUACCCAAUGGGAUGUUUUCUUCAGAUGGUCUUUUCCUUUGGGGAAGAGCGAAAUCAAAGAGAGAAUAUGCUGAUUCAGGUGAAUCCUUCAGGUUUUAGCAGCAAUGGACAAGCUUCAGAGGCACCUUGGAGACUUGUAAGCAUCCAAAAGAUAAGGCACCAAAAUCAUUUUUGUUAAAGCCAUUUUUGCAUUACUUUAUAUACCAGAGAGUGGUCAUUAAAUGGCUGGGGACAGCAGAUGGAGAAAUGCCACUCCUGAAACAAAACAGGAAUUUUUGCUGCCUCAUGCUCCAUCUCUACAUUUCUUUCCGUAUCUCAGCUCAAAGUGAAGGGCUGUACCAGAGGGCAGAGUGGUCAUGAUGAUGUUUACUGCCAUCUAAAACUUCACUGUCAUAGGACUCUUGACUGUGGCUUUUGUUCUGAGUAACAGGAACAUGGGGUUAAGGAAACACACAGGCAUACUGAGGUCUAAAUAAACCUGCUUCUAACAGCAAAUAACCUGCAAGGUCUUGGUAUAGCUAAGUGCUAUGAUUCUGGCAGAUCUCCAGAGACAGAGCACAAAGGGGCAGUCCUGCACUCAUUCCUUGUUUUAUUCCUGAGUGCUGUUAUCUUUCACACUUAGUGUCUCCUUGCUGCACUGCUUGCGGUAGGACACAGCUGGUCAGAAAUCAGUGUGUCACAACUGUUUUCCUGUUGUUGCAAACUAUUGCAGAUUUUUGUCUCUUUCUGCCCAUUUCCAGGUUGACAUAAAGGCUUGGGAGAGCCCUAGAGCAUGGGGGAAAUAUGGAAUAUGUGUUCUGUACACUUGAUUACUUAGAGUAGGUGGGACCUGUGAGGUCUUCAGGCCUGUAUUGUUAAGCUGGGAGACCUGCAGGACACAAUAGCAACUAUCUCCAGCUCCCUAUGCUGGUCAUUCUCUACACAUGCUUGGAAAUUCUCUACUUAAUUGAUUAGCAGCAGUGUCCUGAGCCAUACAGGUAGCAGGAACCUUCCUUGGUAAGGGGUUCUCUCCUCACUCCUGAGGGGUGAGGGAUAACUCAGUCAGGCAGAGCACACAGAGAACAGCAGACCAGCAAACCAAACAUCUGAACCAGGCAGAAGAACCCUACAAACCAAACCCAAACAGCUUCUCAUCUCUGAACCAAUUUUACAACUGUAAAUUCAUGGAGCUCUGCACCCCACUUCUGUUUAUAAACCCACAGUUGUUCCCAGAAUUCUUUUCAUUUGAUCAGUUUGGUUGAUUGUGUUCACUUUUUGGAAUUGAUGAUCUUUCUUUUGUUGCUAUCGUUUGGAGUGGAGUUAUACUGAGUAAAACUUAUUCAGUUGUUUAACAGGAACACAGACCAGCAUUAGGAGUGUGCAACAGAUAAGCUGCAUUUGGGGAGCAGGGAAAAGUCCCAUGAGGGCAGAUACUAUUUAUACUGUUCUGAUGCUUAAAUUUGAUGCCAAUGGCCCUGACUCAGUGUUUUGAAACUUAAUUCAGGACAUUGAAAUGGCAAAUGAAUGUUACCAAGUCAAAUGCGACCGGUAAUGACAGCUUCUGAAAGGGCUCUUUCUUAAUGACCAUUCUGGGACCCUACACAUAUAACCACAACAUGUGCACGAUGUUUGCAUUAAAAGAUCAUGGCUAGCUUGUAGUAAAACCACAGUGGCAAAAAUUUGGGAAGUACUUUGAGCAAAUUUCACCUGCGAAGCAAGGUCAAGGCGGUUAAGGAGCUGAAACCCACUAAAUAGUGAAGCAAAUAAUACUUGCAAU